ACUAAGCGUACACGGUGGAUGCCCUGGCAGUCAGAGGCGAUGAAGGACGUGCUAAUCUGCGAAAAGCGUCGGUAAGGUGAUAUGAACCGUUAUAACCGGCGAUGUCCGAAUGGGGAAACCCAGUGCAAUUCGUUGCACUAUCGUUAACUGAAUACAUAGGUUAACGAGGCGAACCGGGGGAACUGAAACAUCUAAGUACCCCGAGGAAAAGAAAUCAACCGAGAUUCCCCCAGUAGCGGCGAGCGAACGGGGAGCAGCCCAGAGUCUGAAUCAGCUUGUGUGUUAGUGGAACGGUCUGGAAAGUCCGACGGUACAGGGUGAUAGUCCCGUACACCAAAAUGCACAGGUUGUGAACUCGAAGAGUAGGGCGGGACACGUGGUAUCCUGUCUGAAUAUGGGGGGACCAUCCUCCAAGGCUAAAUACUCCUGACUGACCGAUAGUGAACCAGUACCGUGAGGGAAAGGCGAAAAGAACCCCGGCGAGGGGAGUGAAAAAGAACCUGAAACCGUGUACGUACAAGCAGUGGGAGCACCUUCGGGUGUGACUGCGUACCUUUUGUAUAAUGGGUCAGCGACUUAUAUUCUGUAGCAAGGUUAACCGUAUAGGGGAGCCGCAGGGAAACCGAGUCUUAACUGGGCGUUAAGUUGCAGGGUAUAGACCCGAAACCCGGUGAUCUAGCCAUGGGCAGGUUGAAGGUUGGGUAACACUAACUGGAGGACCGAACCGACUAAUGUUGAAAAAUUAGCGGAUGACUUGUGGCUGGGGGUGAAAGGCCAAUCAAACCGGGAGAUAGCUGGUUCUCCCCGAAAGCUAUUUAGGUAGCGCCUCGUGAACUCAUCUUCGGGGGUAGAGCACUGUUUCGGCUAGGGGGUCAUCCCGACUUACCAACCCGAUGCAAACUACGAAUACCGAAGAAUGUUAUCACGGGAGACACACGGCGGGUGCUAACGUCCGUCGUGAAGAGGGAAACAACCCAGACCGCCAGCUAAGGUCCCAAAGUCAUGGUUAAGUGGGAAACGAUGUGGGAAGGCACAGACAGCCAGGAUGUUGGCUUAGAAGCAGCCAUCAUUUAAAGAAAGCGUAAUAGCUCACUGGUCGAGUCGGCCUGCGCGGAAGAUGUAACGGGGCUAAACCAUGCACCGAAGCUGCGGCAGCGACACUAUGUGUUGUUGGGUAGGGGAGCGUUCUGUAAGUCUGCGAAGGUGACCUGUGAGGGUUGCUGGAGGUAUCAGAAGUGCGAAUGCUGACAUAAGUAACGAUAAAGCGGGUGAAAAGCCCGCUCGCCGGAAGACCAAGGGUUCCUGUCCAACGUUAAUCGGGGCAGGGUGAGUCGACCCCUAAGGCGAGGCCGAAAGGCGUAGUCGAUGGGAAACAGGUUAAUAUUCCUGUACUUGGUGUUACUGCGAAGGGGGGACGGAGAAGGCUAUGUUAGCCGGGCGACGGUUGUCCCGGUUUAAGCAUGUAGGCUGAUUAUCCAGGCAAAUCCGGAUAAUCAAGGCUGAGGUGUGAUGACGAGGCACUACGGUGCUGAAGUAACAAAUGCCCUGCUUCCAGGAAAAGCCUCUAAGCAUCAGGUAACAUUAAAUCGUACCCCAAACCGACACAGGUGGUCAGGUAGAGAAUACCAAGGCGCUUGAGAGAACUCGGGUGAAGGAACUAGGCAAAAUGGUGCCGUAACUUCGGGAGAAGGCACGCUGGUGUGUAGGUGAAGUCCCUGCGGAUGGAGCUGAGACCAGUCGAAGAUACCAGCUGGCUGCAACUGUUUAUUAAAAACACAGCACUGUGCAAACACGAAAGUGGACGUAUACGGUGUGACGCCUGCCCGGUGCCGGAAGGUUAAUUGAUGGGGUUAUCCGUAAGGAGAAGCUCUUGAUCGAAGCCCCGGUAAACGGCGGCCGUAACUAUAACGGUCCUAAGGUAGCGAAAUUCCUUGUCGGGUAAGUUCCGACCUGCACGAAUGGCGUAAUGAUGGCCAGGCUGUCUCCACCCGAGACUCAGUGAAAUUGAACUCGCUGUGAAGAUGCAGUGUACCCGCGGCAAGACGGAAAGACCCCGUGAACCUUUACUAUAGCUUGACACUGAACAUUGAGCCUUGAUGUGUAGGAUAGGUGGGAGGCUUUGAAGCGUGGACGCCAGUCUGCGUGGAGCCAACCUUGAAAUACCACCCUUUAAUGUUUGAUGUUCUAACGUUGGCCCCUGACCGGGGUUGCGGACAGUGUCUGGUGGGUAGUUUGACUGGGGCGGUCUCCUCCCAAAGCGUAACGGAGGAGCACGAAGGUUAGCUAAUCCUGGUCGGACAUCAGGAGGUUAGUGCAAUGGCAUAAGCUAGCUUGACUGCGAGCGUGACGGCGCGAGCAGGUGCGAAAGCAGGUCAUAGUGAUCCGGUGGUUCUGAAUGGAAGGGCCAUCGCUCAACGGAUAAAAGGUACUCCGGGGAUAACAGGCUGAUACCGCCCAAGAGUUCAUAUCGACGGCGGUGUUUGGCACCUCGAUGUCGGCUCAUCACAUCCUGGGGCUGAAGUAGGUCCCAAGGGUAUGGCUGUUCGCCAUUUAAAGUGGUACGCGAGCUGGGUUUAGAACGUCGUGAGACAGUUCGGUCCCUAUCUGCCGUGGGCGCUGGAGAAUUGAGGGGGGCUGCUCCUAGUACGAGAGGACCGGAGUGGACGCAUCACUGGUGUUCGGGUUGUCAUGCCAAUGGCACUGCCCGGUAGCUAAAUGCGGAAGAGAUAAGUGCUGAAAGCAUCUAAGCACGAAACUUGCCCCGAGAUGAGUUCUCCCUGAGACUUUAAGUCUCCUGAAGGAACGUUAAAGACGAUGACGUUGAUAGGCCGGGUGUGUAAGCGCAGCGAUGCGUUGAGCUAACCGGUACUAAUGAACCGUGAGGCUUAACC
rnacentral:rRNA from 1 species